rnacentral:lncRNA from 1 species
GUUUGAAAGUUAUCACUUCUCUAUGCUGUUCUCUAUCAGCCUCUAUUUGAUAAGCGAUUUGAGAUUAUUAAUGCAAUUUAUGAACCCACAGAAGAAGAAUGUGAAUGGAAACCAGAUGAAGAAGGCAAGAUUUCGGAGGAGUUGAAAGAAAAGGCCAAGAUUGAAGAAGAGAAGAAGGAUGAAGAAAAAGAAGAGCCCAUAGGAAUUCCUGAAUUUUGGUUAACUAUUUUUAAGAAUGUUGACUUGCUUAGUGAUAUGCUUCAGGAACAUGAUGAACCUAUUCUGAAGCACUUUAAAUUUAUUAAAGUGAAGUUCUUGGAUGCUGGCCAGCCUAUGAGUUUUGUCUUAGAAUUUCACUUUGAACCCAGUGAAUAUUUUACAAAUGAAGUGCCAACAAAGACAUAUAGGAUGAGGUCAGAACCAGAUGAUUCUGGUCCCUUUUCUUUUGAUGGACUAGAAAUUAUGGGUUGUACAGGGUGCCAGAUAGAUUGGAAAAAAAGGAAAGAAUGUCACUUUGAGAAACAUUAAGAAGCAGCAGAAACACAAGGGACAUGGGACAGUUUGUACUGUGACUAAAAGAGUUUCCAAUGACUCUUGCUUUAAUUUUUUUGCCCCUCCUGAAGUUCCUGAGAGUGGAUAUCUGGAUGAUGCUGCUGAAGCUAUCCAUGCUGCAAACUUCCAAAUCAGUCACUUUUUACCUGAGUGUAUAAUCCCAAGAUCAGUGUUAUAUUUUACUGGAGAAGCUAUUGAAGAUGAUGAUGAUGAUUAUGAUGAAGAAGGCAAAGAAGCAGAUGAGGAAGGGGAAGAAGAAGAUGAGGAAAAUGAUCCAGACUAUGAACCAAAGAAAGAUCAAAACGCAGCAGAGUGCAAGCAGCAGUGA